GACAGAGGGGGCAAGCGUUGCUCGGAAUCACUGGGCGUAAAGGGCACGUAGGCGGGACGCCAAGUCGGUCGUGAAAUCUCCGGGCUCAACCCGGAGGAGUCGGCCGAAACUGGUGUUCUUGAGGGAGGCAGAGGAGUCUGGAAUUCCCGGUGUAGCGGUGAAAUGUGUAGAGAUCGGGAGGAACACCGGUGGCGAAGGCGGGACUCUGGGCCUACCCUGACGCUGAGGCGCGAAGGCGUGGGGAGCAAACGGG
rnacentral:rRNA from 1 species